GGGGUUAUAGUUAAUAAUAACAUUUGGGUUGCAUCCAAAAAGUACUACCAACUAGUAGUUAACCUCU
rnacentral:tRNA from 2 species